rnacentral:lncRNA from 1 species
AGUCUGGGUCUACUGCAGCUCUGUCGUCCUGACUACAGAGUCUGGUCUACUGCAGAUCUGUCGUCCUGACUACAGAGUCUGGGUCUACUGCAGAGGAUCAUCAAGAUUAAGUGUUAAUACAAUAAGUUCCAGAUGAAGGCAGCACUCUAACUUGUCAUGUGUCCUUCUGUACAAUACUUGAUGUGUCCUUCUGUACAACACUUGAUGUGUCUUUCUGUACAACACUUGUCAUGUGUCCUUCUGUACACCACUUGUCAUGUGUCCUUAUGUACAACACUUGUCAUGUGUCCUUCUGUACAACACUUGUCAUGUGUCCUUCUGUACAACACUUGUCAUGUGUCCUUCUGUACAACACUUGUCAUGUGUCCUUCUGUACAACACUUGUCAUGUGUCUUUCUGUACAACACUUGUCAUGGGUCCUUCUGUACAACACUUGUCAUGGGUCCUUCUGUACAACACUUGUCAUGGGUCCUUCUGUACAACACUUGUCAUGGGUCCUUCUGUACAACACUUGUCAUGUGUCCUUCUGUACAACACUUGUCAUGUGUCCUUCUGUACAACACUUGUCAUGUGUCAUUCUGUACAACACUUGUCAUGUGUCCUUCUGUACAACACUUGUCAUGUGUCCUUCUGUACACCACUUGUCAUGUGUCCUUCUGUACAACACUUGUCAUGUGUCCUUCUGUACAACACUUGUCAUGUGUCCUUCUGUACAACACUUGUCAUGUGUCCUUCUGUACAACACUUGUCAUGUGUCCUUCUGUACAACACUUGUCAUGUGUCCUUCUGUACAACACUUGUCAUGUGUCUUUCUGUACAACACUUAUCAUGGGUCCUUCUGUACAACACUUGUCAUGGGUCCUUCUGUACAACACUUGUCAUGGGUCCUUCUGUACAACACUUGUCAUGUGUCCUUCUGUACAACACUUGUCAUGGGUCCUUCUGUACAACACUUGUCAUGGGUCCUUCUGUACAACACUUGUGAGUGGUGUCUUGUGUGACUGUGAAGUUUAUGAGAGAGAAACAGAUCAUUACGUAGUCGAGACCAACUGAAAGGAGACUUGAGACAAUAGA